rnacentral:rRNA from 1 species
UAGAAUACUCAAGCUAUGCAUCCAACGCGUUGGGAGCUCUCCCAUAUGGUCGACCUGCAGGCGGCCGCACUAGUGAUUAGUUUGAUCAUGGCUCAGGAUGAACGCUGGCGGCGUGCUUAACACAUGCAAGUCGAGCGGGCAAUUUAUCUAGCACUGAUUACUUCAAAUGGCUAUCGCCAGUGUAAUCAUGAAUUUCUACCUUUUAAUAAAGAAAAAGAAAUUCAUGUACGCAAAUAGUGAUAACACAUGAAAGUGGAGUGAUGAGUGCUGGAUAAAUUGCUAGCGGCGGACGGGUGCGUAACACGUGGGUAACCUGCCCCUAUCACUGGGAUAACACACUGAAAAGUGUGCUAAUACCAGAUAAUAUAAGCUUUUGGCAUCAUUAGCUUAUCAAAGAAUUUCGGAUAGGGAUGGGCCCGCGUCUGAUUAGCUAGUUGGUGAGGUAACGGCUCACCAAGGCAACGAUCAGUAGCCGACCUGAGAGGGUGAUCGGCCACACUGGAACUGAGACACGGUCCAGACUCCUACGGGAGGCAGCAGUGGGGAAUAUUGCACAAUGGGCGAAAGCCUGAUGCAGCAACGCCGCGUGAGCGAUGAAGGCCUUCGGGUCGUAAAGCUCUGUCCUAUGGGAAGAUAAUGACGGUACCAUAGGAGGAAGCCCCGGCUAACUACGUGCCAGCAGCCGCGGUAAUACGUAGGGGGCAAGCGUUAUCCGGAAUUACUGGGCGUAAGGGUGCGUAGGCGGUUUAUCAAGUCAGGGGUGAAAGGCUACGGCUCAACCGUAGUGAGCCUCUGAAACUGGUGAACUUGAGUGUAGGAGAGGAAAGUGGAAUUCCCAGUGUAGCGGUGAAAUGCGUAGAUAUUGGGAGGAACACCAGUGGCGAAAGCGACUUUCUGGACUACAACUGACGCUGAGGCACGAAAGCGUGGGGAGCAAACAGGAUUAGAUACCCUGGUAGUCCACGCUGUAAACGAUGAGUACU